GACGAACGCUGGCAGCGUGCUUAACACAUGCAAGUCGAACGGAAAGUCCCUGCCUUUGUGGGGUGCUCGAGUGGCGAACGGGUGAGUAACACGUGAGUAACCUGACCUUGACUUUGGGAUAACUUCAGGAAACUGGGGCUAAUACCGGAUAGGAGCUCCUGCUGCAUGGUGGGGGUUGGAAAGUUUCGGCGGGUGGGGAUGGACUCGCGGCUUAUCAGCUUGUUGGUGGGGUAGUGGCUUACCAAGGCUUUGACGGGUAGCCGGCCUGAGAAGGUGACCGGCCACAUUGGUCCUGCGAUACGGCCCAGACUCCUACGGUAGGCAGCAGUGGGGAAUAUUGCCCAAUGGGCGGAAGCCUGAUGCAGCAACGCCGCGUGCGGGAUGACGGCCUUCGGGUUGUAAACCGCUUUCGCCUGUGACGAAGCGUGCGUGACGGUAAUGGGUAAAGAAGCACCGGCUAACUACGUG
rnacentral:rRNA from 1 species